AGCUUGGGGCGAGACGCCAGCGGGCGACGGGGGCGAAGGGCAAGCGCCGCCCAGACGAGAGGAGAAGAGACGGAAACAUUAUGGACAGAAGAACAGAGGCAGAGAGAGAACUAGGAGCUUUCUGAUACCCAUCUGCAACAAAAACUCCCAUCUCUCUCCUUCAUUAUGCAAUCUGCACUAGUAGGUGAGAGUAACAGAGACAUCUGCUGCAUUAAGGACCACCUGUGAAUGGCAGGCUGAAAUGAGAUUAUCUUCAACAGCAGAGACAAGGUGACACAAUCAUGACUCGGGCAUUCCACAGAAAGAAAAGAUCCAAUCCCAGUAAGUAAUAAUUUAUUUUCCAGCAAACUAAUGGUUUCAAUCACAGGUAGGCAGAAAUAUUACAUUUAAUAGUAGCAAUACUGUAGGAGUAAUUAUUUAUACUGAAUUAACAAUGUAUGUGGCAUGUUCAUUAGCAGCAGAUGCAGAAAUUAACAGCACAGGUGAAAAGCUAUUUUAGAAGGACACAAUUGAUUUAAUUCCGAUUUCCUAACUUUGAUCUUUCCGAACCUUCUCACAUCAUAGCUGGUGUACAGACAGGAAUAGCCAAACUAUAUGAAUACGGUUUCAGUUAUUGAGGAGGGUGGUUUAUUGGGGUUUUGUUGUUGUUGUUCUUGUUUCCAUUAUGUAUUUUAUGUUUUUAUCUUGUAAUUUUGUUGUGACCCGCCCUGAGAUUUACAGACGGAGGGCGAUAUAGAGAUUUAAUAAAUAAAAGAAUAAAAGGGCAUAUUUCAGAAAGGUGCUUUGCAUCUGUCCCCUCUAUUGAUGCCUUCCUGGAGCAAGAACUUGGCAAUCUUAUUAAUAGAAGUAGUACACUUACUUCUUCCCAUAAUGGGCACCUCUUUGCUUAGUUUCAGAGUGGCAAUUAAGUUAAAAUAUAUAUACUUGGGCAUUUUUAUUGAACUUAACUAAUAGGUAGAAUGGUUGUUUCCUCCCUCUGUCUCUACUACCUCCUUACAACAUAUCUUGUUUCUUAAUUGAAUAUUGUGUGCGUGUUUCUCUGUGUGUGUGUGUAAUAUACACAUGCAUCUAUAAUACCCACACACACUUCGUGAUGGGUUCAGGACUUGGCUUUGCAACCUGUUUAUAAUUCUAGCCUUCAGCCCUGGCAAUGUAAUAAAAACGCCAACUAAUAAAUCCCUCAGUCAGUUACGAAGGUCCUAGGUCGUUACUUUUUUCACUCUUGAAUAAGUACAGUCAGCUCCCAGUCAUUUUGGAAAAGGAGAAAAGAUUCCAAGGGCAAACAGCUUGAGCCUGACUAUCUCUCUUGAUUUAAGUGAUGAAUAAACACCAUGUGAAUUGCAUAUGGCAGCCGUGUGAAUGAAUGGGGAAACGACUGAAUAGAGAAGAUGCAGGGCUGCCGAUGAUCUUGACCUAAGCUUUGUCUGUAUCUUGAAUGCUGAAUUGCCUGCUGAACUGCUAGGUUUUAAAUCUAUCACAAUUCUAUCAGCAGUCAGAAUGAGCAGCUGUAAUACCUGGUUUUUAAGUUACAGCCCUGCAACAACCACCUUUAUAAAUAUAGCAAGUUGCUCGCAUAUUUUGUUAAACUUAGGCAGUUCAGUUUGUAAAUUUGGGGCAGAAUUAUCUAGAAAACUGAUUUAUUUCAACCCAGACCACUGGCCUCUCCAGCAGUUUUGUCUACUGACUGGCAGUGGCUCUCUUGAGUUUUGGACAGGAGCCUCUCCCAGCCCUUGCUGGUGUUGUCAGAGAGUGAACCUGAAAAUUACUGUAUGCAAUACGUGUGUUCUACCAGUGAGCUCCAUAUGAGGACAUACAUCAGUUUAGGACAUAAUUAUGGCUAUGGAGAAUUCCAAAACAAGGCAACCAUUGUCAUUGUGCAGCUCUUGCCCACAAAGUGCUUGUGAUAUGGAGACUCUGAACCGGAAGCGACACAUCUACAGAUCAGCUGUGUGGUGUUGCAAACACAGCCUGUUCCCAGUCAGGCACCUUUUCCCAUGGUGAAAGCGGGUUGGGAAGCCGGAAGGAAAAUAAGAAUGCCAGCUCCAGUGUUUGCGUAUUUCCCUCCAUUCUGGUGGCAUAGCAGAAUAGGGGGGCUGCGGAUUCCCCUUUUGUUAUUAUUACACAUUGGAGUAUUGACAACAGAUUGGAACUGGCAGAGAUUUCUGCACCUGCUUGCAAGGAAACAGUUGCUGGUACCGAUUGCCCCCAAAAUGCUGCAUCCAGAGCAGGGGUAGGCAAUCUAAGUCCCGGGGGCCGGAUGCAGCCCAAUCGCCUUCUCAAUCAGCGUAUUUUUACAUGAGUAGAAUGUGUGCUUUUAUUUAAAAUGCAUCUUGGGGUUAUUUGUGGGGCAUAGGUUCAUUAUUAUUUUCAAAAUAUAGUCCUGCCCACCACAUGGUCCGAGGGACAGUGAACCAGCACACAGCUGAAAAAGGCCCCUGAUCCAGAGCAUUGUGGGUGGCACAAAACAUUUGAGACGGCAUGUUUUUAAAAGGAAGGAAAGAACCACUGUUCUGUUCACAGUGAUCUCCUGGCAAAUAUGGCACUGGAAUUUGCCAUACCCACUUGAAAAAUGAAGCCACUGAACACUCCACUUGCCAUCUGUGGAAAAGGUGGUGAAUUUGGAUUCCACAAAUGCCUUAGCUGAGAUCAUGCAAGAUAGAAUCAAUUUAUUGUUUUUAAAAAUGGCACUGAAGGAGAUGUAGGCUUACAGUAGUAGCGGGAAACUGGUGGCCCUCCAGAUGUUGUUGAACUACAACUCCCAUCAUCCCUGGCCACUGACCAUGCUUCUUGGGGCCUGAUGGGAGUCCAGCAACAUCUGGAGGGUUCUGGAGUGUCAAAGGCUUCCCAUACCUUAAUAUGGGGAACAACAGUACAAAAGAGCUGAAGGCGAACGGCAAGUAUUUUUACACAAGCAACAUCAACUUUUUUGCAGUGAAAAUGGAACUUUGUGAAAAUUCAAUGCAGCACUAGAUCACCUGUGUCUUCGCAAUGAGGGGUGUGGGUGGGUGUCCUUUGAUAACCCAAAGGCUAUGCCUUACAUAUUUUGGAGGAACAUAUAUGAAAAGAACAAGGAAGAAGAAAGGCAGAGAGUGGGAUUUCAGGGCUUGUUUGUUCUGCUACAGAAUUCACAGGCUAUCUGGCUGCUGUGAUAUCAAGCAUCCUGCUCAUGCUGUGAAAAGAAAAACACACAAAGCAGAAGCCACACGUUGCUUUCAGGCUCAGCAAACCAAGGGGAUGAAAUGGCAUCGCUGUGAAUGGCUUUGGGGCUCAUCAAAAGGAAGUCUCAGAACAUCUCUGUCCAAGGUCAGAAAGGAACAAGAUGCUUUCCCACAGAAUAAUCACUGCUCUGUUUUUGAGGCAGAGUGGCUGCUCUGCUUUAGGUGGCUGUUCGGCUCCAACUUCUCAAACAUGGAAAUGCAACAGCAGGAUUAACAUAAAGAUUCUUGGUAUUCAUAGCAGAGUUAAAAGCUUGGAAGCUGAGGCUACCUGGAGUGACCCAGUCCCACCGCCACUCUUUCUGUCUCAUUCACACAUCGCUAGCAUAAUUUAAAAGAAUAAAACAAAACAAAAAUAGUUGGUCUCCAUGGUAAAGGAAAGGAGUCAUUUAUCUACAGCUUCUUCAUAUCUACAAGGAUUCUAACCUAGUUAGAUUCUAAGCUAGUUCUCAUGGCUGCCUCAAGCAGGAUAGAGGGAAGAAGGCGAAGGCAAUGAAGGCAUAGGGAUGGAACUUUGGACUUUGGCAGGAAACCACAAAGUGUAUUUCUCCCUAUUAGUCUCAUCCCUGCCCUCUGCUGACUGGAGGCAUGCAAAGUUGCUUAAACCCAACUCCCUUUCCAGAGGGAGGCUCAUGCAGACUUUUUUGUGCCACACUUUCCAGGCACACGUCUGCACUUUAAAGCUCCAUGUCUGAGUCCGUUCUCCAGGAAAACUUGAAUUUUACUGCCGAAUAAGAGAAAAUGGUUGUCUGCAGACAAUGCAAUAGUUCUUGGCUCUGAUUCAGAGGUAUAACAUGGGUUUUCCCAGGGGAAACUCCAGGACAAGAAUAAUAAAAUAAUAAUAAAUGUUCAGACGUGGAGCUUUAAAGAGCAGACCUGUGCCUAGAAAUAUGGCCCCAAAUCUCUUACACCAGGGAACAAGCCCAAUGCUUCUUGUUUUUCCAUAUUAAUUUCCUGCAACAUUUAUUUUUCACUUUAGGUGAAAUAGGGAUUAAUUUCGUUUCAAAACCCUUCCUGAAAAGCAAUGAAGCUCUAGCCGCCUACAACUCCCAUCAUCCCUAUGCAUUGGCCAUGCUGGCUGGGGCUGAUGGGAGUCCAACUGGUGUACAUGAUGCACUGAACUGUGGGGAUAGUGUUUUUUAAGUGUCACAUAUCGCUAGGCCCUGGAAGACAGAGUCAAUGACUAGGUGAAGCCAUCACACGAACUUGAUUGCUGAACUCAGGUCCUUCUAAUCCAGGCAUCCCCAAACUGCGGCCCUCCAGAUGUUUUGGCCUACAACUCCCAUGAUCCCUAGCUAACAGGACUAGUGGUUGGGGAGGAUGGGAAUUGUAGUCCAAAACAUCUGGAGGGCCAAAGUUUGGGGAUGCCUGUUCUAAUCCAACAUUUUCACGUUCUUUCAACCUCAGCAGAAAGUGCUGUUGCCUAGCAUUCCCACGGUUCAUCCUGAGGUUUCAUCUAAUCAAGUGGCCAUGUUGAUGCACCCAUCUCAGCUGCUUGUUUUCCCUUCAGUGAGUGAGGGAGUGUGAAGCUGAAGCAAUAAAGGGAGCAGGAAGGUGGGAACAAGCCUUCAGCUACCCCAAGGUCCUCCAGUCAUGACAAACCUGAGCCCAACUACUUUUAAUAUAUGAAGACAUAUAAUGGUACAUAUAUUGGUGCCCUUACAAAAUACUAUGCCCACAGUUCAGCGCAUCAUGUACAAGGAGGCAAGCUGGACACUAUGGCAGAAAAUGAUAGUUGUCCAUCUGUAAUGAAUGCCUUCGAGAAGAUAGGAUUUGUGUCAUGUGGCUGCUGUCAUACAAUAAGCCACACCAACCGCAUCAACACCAUACAAAAGCACUCUUAGUGUCACAUGUGAAAGCACUCCAAGGGUGUAAAUAAAGCACUGCCAAUUCUAGAAAUGCCACAGCAGGUUUAUAUUAUGGUCAUGGCUCAGAUUCAAGGGCACUCCUCAGAAAGUAGUUAAAAGAA